rnacentral:rRNA from 1 species
GACGAACGCUGGCGGCGUGCUUAACACAUGCAAGUCGAACGCUGAACCCGCUUCGGUGGGGGAUGAGUGGCGAACGGGUGAGUAACACGUGGGCAACCUGCCCCCGGCUCUGGGAUAACUCCAAGAAAUUGGGGCUAAUACCGGAUGUGACCGCUGGCCGCAUGGUCUGGUGGUGGAAAGGGUUUCCGGCUGGGGAGGGGCCCGCGGCCUAUCAGCUUGUUGGUGGGGUAGUGGCCUACCAAGGCGACGACGGGUAGCCGGCCUGAGAGGGUGACCGGCCACACUGGGACUGAGACACGGCCCAGACUCCUACGGGAGGCAGCAGUGGGGAAUAUUGCGCAAUGGGCGGAAGCCUGACGCAGCGACGCCGCGUGGGGGAUGACGGCCUUCGGGUUGUAAACCUCUUUCAGCAGGGACGAAGCGCAAGUGACGGUACCUGCAGAAGAAGCACCGGCCAACUACGUG